GAUGAAGAACGCAGCGAAAUGCGAUAAGUAAUGUGAAUUGCAGAAUUCAGUGAAUCAUCGAAUCUUCGAACGCAUCUUGCGCUCCUUGGUAUUCUGAGGAGCAUGCCUGUUUGAGUGUCAUUAAAUUCUCAACUACACUGACUUUGAAUUGGUGUGGCUUGGAUUUGGGGGGAAAAUUGUUGUGGGCUUUUUGUAUAGUCUGCUCCCCUGAAAUUGAUUAGCGGUACCUUUGUGGAACUGUCUACAGGUGUGAUAAUUAUCUACAUCUUAGACAUCUGCUGGAAUGCUGCUUUCUAAACCUUACUUGUAUUGACAAUCUUGACCUCAAAUCAGGUAGGACUACCCGCUGAACUUAAGCAUAUCAAUAAGCGGAGGA
rnacentral:misc_RNA from 1 species